rnacentral:lncRNA from 1 species
GUGGUGCCAAAACCCCCCAGCGGAAAAAUGGCCAAAAAACGGGUGGCUAAUAGCCUUGGUGGGGGGGGCGGGCGAAGUUCGUCCGCCGGACUCGGAAUGGGGCGAGACUUUGCGAGGGGCCUCGGGGUGCCAAAAAUAAGCUGCGGGCAAAGCCGCGCCCAAAAAUAAGCGCCCGAAGGUCGUGGUGCCAAAACUCCCCAGCGGAAAAAUGGCCAAAAAACGGGUGGGCUAUAGCCUUGGUGGGGGGCGCGGGCGAAGUUCGUCCGCCGGACUCAGAAUGGGGCGAGACUUUGCGAGGGGCCUCGGGGUACCAAAAAUAAGCCGCGGGCAAAGCCGCGCCCAAAAAUAAGCGCCCGAAGGUCGUGGUGCCAAAACCCCCCAGCGGAAAAUUGGCCAAAAAACGGGUGGGCUAUAGCCUUGGUGGGGGGCGCGGGCGAAGUUAGUCCGCCGGACUCGGAAUGGGGCGAGACUUUGCGAGGGCCCUCUGGGGUGCCAAAAAUAAGCCGCGGGCAAAGCCGCGACCAAAAAUAAGCGCCCGAAGGUCGUGGUGCCAAAACCCCCCACCGGAAAAAUGGCCAAAAAACGGGUGGGCUAUAGCCUUGGUGGGGGGCGGGGGCGGGCGAAGUUCGUCCGCCGGACUCGGAAUGGGGCGAGACUUUGCGAGGGGCCUCGGGGUGCCAAAAAUAAGCCGCGGGCAAAAACGCGCCCAAAAAUCAGCGCCCG